rnacentral:lncRNA from 1 species
GUGUCAGAUGUAUUUAAUUUCUAUGACGGAUUAAAAACACAAAUGAUUGAAGAAUCAACAAAACAAGAAACUCGCUAUCAUGCCAUUCUUGAACAGCAAGAACUCACUACCAAAGGAUUCAUGACAAUCAAAAACAAUUUUUCUGACAUCAGCAAAAAAGCCAACAAGACUACUUCCAUAACAUGCAAUCUAGCAUGCAAUCUUAUGUGGAUACCAGUUUCAACU